rnacentral:rRNA from 1 species
CAGCUUGCUGGAUGCUGACGAGCGGCGGACGGGUGAGUAACGCAUAGGAAUUUACCCGGUAGUGGGGGAUAACCUGGGGAAACUCAGGCUAAUACCGCAUACGUCCUACGGGAGAAAGGGGGCUUUGGCUCCCGCUAUCGGAUGAGCCUAUGCCGGAUUAGCUGGUUGGUGAGGUAAUGGCUCACCAAGGCGACGAUCCGUAGCUGGUCUGAGAGGAUGAUCAGCCACAUCGGGACUGAGACACGGCCCGAACUCCUACGGGAGGCAGCAGUGGGGAAUAUUGGACAAUGGGGGCAACCCUGAUCCAGCCAUGCCGCGUGUGUGAAGAAGGCCCUCGGGUUGUAAAGCACUUUCAGCGAGGAAGAACGCCUGGUGGUUAAUACCCGCCAGGAAAGACAUCACUCGCAGAAGAAGCACCGGCUAACUCCGUGCCAGCAGCCGCGGUAAUACGGAGGGUGCAAGCGUUAAUCGGAAUUACUGGGCGUAAAGCGCGCGUAGGUGGCUUGAUAAGCCGGUUGUGAAAGCCCCGGGCUCAACCUGGGAACGGCAUCCGGAACUAUGAGGCUAGAGUGCAGGAGAGGAAGGUAGAAUUCCCGGUGUAGCGGUGAAAUGCGUAGAGAUCGGGAGGAAUACCAGUGGCGAAGGCGGCCUUCUGGACUGACACUGACACUGAGGUGCGAAAGCGUGGGUAGCAAACAGGAUUAGAUACCCUGGUAGUCCACGCCGUAAACGAUGUCGACCAGCCGUUGGGUGCCUAGCGCACUUUGUGGCGAAGUUAACGCGAUAAGUCGACCGCCUGG